UACGAAGGGGGCUAGCGUUGCUCGGAAUCACUGGGCGUAAAGGGUGCGUAGGCGGGUCUUUUAAGUCAGGGGUGAAAUCCUGGAGCUCAACUCCAGAACUGCCUUUGAUACUGAGGAUCUUGAGUUCGGGAGAGGUGAGUGGAACUGCGAGUGUAGAGGUGAAAUUCGUAGAUAUUCGCAAGAACACCAGUGGCGAAGGCGGCUCACUGGCCCGAUACUGACGCUGAGGCACGAAAGCGUGGGGAGGCAAACAGGG
rnacentral:rRNA from 1 species